AGAACUGUAUAUAACUGCACGAUAUAGUAGCACAUAAUAUGGAAAACAAAAUAAACCCUGAGGAAGAACAAAAAAUAAUUAUAGAUGCUCUAUAUGACACGUGGUCAAGUGAUAUAGAACGCCGGAACCAUUCCGAAAAGGUUUUAAACGAAUAUGAAAAAAAUCAUUUUUUUAUUAUUUACUUGUUAAAUAUAUGUACAUUUAAUAAUGUACAUUAUAACAUAAGAAAAUUAUCUAUUACAUAUGUUAACAAUUUAGUUAACAUUUUUUGGGAUAGUCGAAAGGACAACCAUUUUAAUAAUAAUUUAAAAAAUUUAAUUAAAAAAAAAGUAAUUAGUAUCUUAAACAAUAUAGAAAAUUUGUAUAAUUAUUAUAAAGAAUUCGGUGUAUUAUUAACAAAGCUAACUAGAUAUGAAUUCGUUCAUAAUUUUACCCAAUUAUUAGAAUGUUUAUUUAAUAAUAUAAAUGUAUAUAAAAAUAAUUUGAAUAAUCUCUAUAUAUAUUUAUAUUUACUUUAUAAAGUGUUAAAAGAACAAUGUAGCAAAAAACUAUUAAAAGAUAAAAAACAAACGUAUGAUAUAUCAUCACAAGUUUUCGAAAAUAUAAUACCACUAUGGAAUACCCCAUUAAAUUUGUUUUUCCAGAAUAAUGCAUAUAAUCCAUCUUGCUGUACUAAUGAAUUAAUUUGUGAAAGGUGUUCUAAUGUGCACAAUUUAAUAAAAAAUUAUGAACAAGUCAUGUUUAAUUAUAAUCAUAUACCUGAGAAAGAGUAUACAAAAUGUGAUCAAUUUUGUGAUACUGCUACUACUGCUCCUACUACUGCCCCUACUACUGCCCCUACUACUGCUCAUACUACUGCUCCUACUACUGCUACUGCUGACGCUACUGCCGAUGCUACUGUCGAUGCUACUGUUGAUGCUACUGUUGAUGCUUCGAUUUUUCAUAACAAUACACUCAAUUUUGAUAACACUUCAUAUGGUAUAUUAUAUAAAGACACUAAAAAUGACUACCACAAUUUUAAUACGACCAAUCAUAUUAAUAGUAUGUUCAGGUUUACUACAAAUAGUUGCUCCCAUGUUAAAACUAACAAAAAUGAAAGCGAAAAUGGAAACGAAAAUGGAAACGAAAAUGGAAACGAAAAUGAUAACACUAAUGCAUACUGUUACAAAAGCAGCGCGUACGAUAAAAAUUGUGAAAAAAAAAUAAAACUAUUAAAAUUUGUUGAUAGCAUAAUAUUAAAUUUUAUUAUAAAUAGAAAUGAUGUAACAAAAGCUGAAAUAAGUGGUACAUCUAGGGUUGGGUCUAUUGAUAUAAGUGAGACUGGGCCUAGCGGAAAUGUCGAGCUCACCAUCAGAACCAACUUCUAUAACUCUCUUGUAAAUAAAACUUUAUUUUAUUUAAAAUUUAUAAAAAGCGAUUCACCUACAUAUUAUUACAAGUAUUUAAAGUAUUUAUUAACUUCUUUUUUUCUUAUGAUAGAAUUUCAUAGUGCAUUUCAUAUGUACUUGAAAAAAAACAUAACUGAACAAUGUAUAUGUUAUUUUUUACAAACACAUUUGAGUAAAUACAGUCAUACGAAAAACUAUGAUAAAACAUAUUUAGAUAUUAUAAAUUUAUGCAUAUAUAUUUUAAAUUCUAUGUUUUAUCAUUUUUGCUUAAAAAAAUAUAAUUUAAUAAAGGGAAAAAAAAUAAGAGAACAAAAUUGUAUGAACAUGAAUAAAAAUGUGUUGCUUUGUAAUAAAAAUGUAAAUUUUUUUAGCAAACUGGGUGAUGAUGAUAAAGUAGGGAAAGAAGCAGAAAUAGGGAUAGAAAAAGAAGCGAAAGUAGGGCUAGAAAAAGAAGCGAAAGUAGGGAUAGAAAAAGAAGCAGAAAUAGGGCUAGAAAAAGAAGCGAAAGUAGGGAUAGAAGAAGAAGCAGAAAUAGGGCUAAAAGUCGAUAAAGAUGCUAUGAUAAAUAAGAACAUGUCAUUAAAAAAUAUUUUAACUUGUAUAAAUGCAGAAGUGGAAGAAGGUUUAACACAUGACAAUUUUAUUUCAAUGAAUAAAAAAAAAGUAAUGGAUAUUUUUUAUUUUUUAAAACUUUAUUGUAUAAAUAUAUGUACAGAACAAAUAAUGGAUAUAACUUUAAAUAUAAAUGAUGAUUAUGAAAUUGAAGAGAAUGUGUUUUAUAAUACAGCAAAAGAUUUUAUUAUUCAGCUAUCUUCCGAGCCUUUUACGUUUUUUAUUUUUAAUAAUUUAUUUGAAGCACUAAUCCAUUCAUUUCAUAAUUAUGUUAAUUUUUUAAAUGAUAUCCCAGUCCACAAUUUUAUAAGUAUACAAAUGGAAGAAACGUCAAAAGCUAUUGUACAGUUAGAUGGAUAUUUACAUUUAUAUUAUAUUCUAUAUCCUUCAUUUCAUAAAAAAAUAAAAUUUGAACACGUCAUACCAAUGAUGCAACUAUUUAUAGAUUAUAUAAAAAUUAAAUACACACAUCCAUUAAUUAGUUAUAGAAUAGCACUUAUAUUAAAAUCGUGGAUAAAAAUGUUUAAAUCGUCUUUUGCUUUUAUUAAUAAAAUUGUUGUUCUCAUUUAUAAGAAUUUAUUUUGCUUGUAUAUACAAUUACAUUCAAAAACAUUUUCUACGCAAAUAUAUAUUAAAAAUUAUGCUCUCGAUUAUUCUGACACGAAUUUAUAUCAUUAUGCCUUUAAGUCACUUAAUUUCCUUCCUCUUCUUUAUUUCAAAUUUAUUUCUUUAUUUAAGUACAUAUUAAAGUAUGAGUAUGUCUAUACAAAUUACGACGAAAUCAAUGAUUUUUUGGUCAUCUCCUUAAUAAGUAUGCUAACAAAGGUAACAUCUCCACAACAUGCUCAAAAAAUCCUGAAAAUCCUCAACUAUAUUAUUGUAAUUUCCAAUAAAGAAAAAGAUAUAUUUAUUUUUAAAGAAUACUACACGUUUUUGUUGGACCUGUAUAUAAGUAGCGAUUUAUCAGUAAAAGAAUAUAUAUUGAAUAUAUUGGUUAAAAUAUUAAAUAAAAAUUAUGAACAUUCAUAUAAUUUUAAAAACUAUAUAAAAAAAAAUGAAUACAAUAAUAACGAACGUAAUAAUAAAAAUUUAAUAAAUAAAGAAACUCAUCAUGAUGAUAUUGUUUUGUUCCAUUUUAGUUAUGAUGUUUUAUUUAAUACUAUGACUUCAAAACGUGGAAACAAUAACAUUUCAUCAUAUGAAAGUAACAGAUCAAAUUAUAAUACAAAUAUGUUUGAUAGCACGGAUAUCACAAAUCGGUUAAUCAAUACACCCACUACUGUUAGUACAAACCAUAACAACUUAAUGCGUAAAAAAACAAAAAAAGUAAACUUAAACAUAGAUGAAAAUAUAAAUGACAGCUUUUAUUCUUUAUGGUUAUGCAUACUAAAAUUAACAAUUAAAUUAUUUCACACAAAUAAUGAUAUUUUUAUAACAAAUAUUUGUUCUUUGUAUAUAUCUACUACUUAUUUUGUAGAAGACUAUUUUGAAAGGGUAGUUACAAGUGAGUGCACAAACGCAUACCCCAACAAUAACACUACCAGUAGGACUAACAGUACCACUAACAGUACCACUAACAGUACCACUAACAGUACCACUAACAGUACCACUAACAAUACCACUAACAGUACCAUUAACAGUACCACUAACAGUACCAUUAACAGUGACAAAACAAACUUUAAAGUUAGCAACUAUUGUUUUGACAUCCUUGUGGAAUACUUAUGCCUAUUUCAUAUUUUUGAAAAAAACGAUUAUUAUCUAACACUUCAAUCUGAAUCAACAGGGAUACUGACAAAUAAUAUAUUAAAAAAUAAUUUAUUAAACAUAAUUUAUAAAAAUUUUAUGUUAACUAAUGAAAAAAAUAUUGAAAAAUGUAUUUACGUUUUACAGAUAUGCUUAGAUAUAUAUAAAAAAGAUAUAAAAAAAAUAAUAGCACAAAUGUUUACAUAUAUAGCUAAUUUUAUUGUAAUAUAUUUUAUUAAAGUUAUUUUACAGUACUUUAAUACAUUUUUUAACGUAUACAAAUAUUUCCACAGUGAUAGUAAUAGUAAUAGUAAUAGUAAUAGUAAUAGUAGUAGUUAUAAUAAUAAUCAGGACACUAACUGUGUGAGCGGAAAAAGUGUCAGCGGUAAUGAUUGUAAGGGUAAUUAUGCAACUAGCCAUAAUAACCAAUUGCUACUAACCAACAACGAAAUAACAAUGUAUACGGAACGAAAAUUAUCUAAUAACAUUUAUUUAUAUUUGGACACGUCACAUGUGUGGCAAAAUCCUAACAACACUAACACAAGUGACAACUGUAACUGUCGUGACAGCACGAGCGAAAUAAAUACCAAAUAUAAAAAGUAUAAUACAAAUAAAAUAAAAUAUAUUUAUGAUAAUGUUAUAGAUUAUAAGC
ensembl:lncRNA